rnacentral:rRNA from 1 species
GACAGAGGGUGCAAACGUUGUUCGGAAUUACUGGGCGUAAAGCGCGUGUAGGCGGCCGCGUAAGUCGGAUGUGAAAGCCCUCGGCUCAACUGGGGAAGUGCACCCGAAACUACGUGGCUCGAGUCUCGGAGAGGAUCGUGGAAUUCUCGGUGUAGAGGUGAAAUUCGUAGAUAUCGAGAGGAACACCGGUGGCGAAGGCGGCGAUCUGGACGGUGACUGACGCUGAGACGCGAAAGCGUGGGGAGCAAACAGG